CACCUUCAGCGCAGCAAGAGGAAUGAAAGUGGUGGUUGUUUUCGAUGCAAAGGAAUCAGGUCUGCCAUCACACAGAGAAUCCAGAGCAAGUGUUGACAUCGUGUUUGCGGCCGACGCUUGCACCGAUUCAUG